UACGGAGGAUCAAAGCGGUAUCCGGAACCAUUGGGUUUACAGGGUCCGUAGGCGGGAGAAUAAGUCCGUGGUGAAAGUCUGCAGCUCAACUGUAGAACUGCCAUUGAAACUGUUUUCCUUGAGUCAUUAUGAAGUGGUUAGAAUAUGUAGUGUAGCGGUGAAAUGCAUAGAUAUUGCAUAGAAUACCGAUUGCGAAGGCAGAUCACUAAUAAUGUACUGACGCUGAGGGACGAAAGCGUAGGUAGCGAACAGG
rnacentral:misc_RNA from 1 species